UACGUAGGUGGCAAGCGUUGUCCGGAUUUAUUGGGUUUAAAGGGUGCGUAGGCGGUUCUAUAAGUCAGUGGUGAAAUCCGGCAGCUCAACUGUCGAUGUGCCAUUGAUACUGCAGAACUUGAGUACAGACGAGGUAGGCGGAAUUGACGGUGUAGCGGUGAAAUUCGUAGAUAUUCGGAAGAACACCAGUGGCGAAGGCGACUUACUGGACACAUAUUGACGCUGAGGUGCGAAAGCGUGGGGAGCAAACAGG
rnacentral:rRNA from 1 species